AGUGAACGCUGGCGGCGUGCCUAACGCAUGCAAGUCGAACGAUGAUAGAGAGCUUGCUCUCUUGAUUAGUGGCGCACGGGUGAGUAUACCAUAGAUAAUGUGCCCCUUAGUCUGGGAUAGCCACUGGAAACGGUGAUUAAUACUAGAUACUCCUUCUUACUAUAAGGUAAGUCGGGAAAGUUUUUCGCUAAGGGAUCAGUCUAUGUCCUAUCAGCUAGUUGGUGAGGUAAUGGCUCACCAAGGCAAUGACGGGUAUCUGGUUUGAGAGGAUGAUCAGACACACUGGAACUGAGACACGGUCCAGACUCCUACGGGAGGCAGCAGUGAGGAAUAUUGCACAAUGGAGGAAACUCUGAUGCAGCAACGCCGCGUGGAGGAUGACGCAUUUCGGUGUGUAAACUCCUUUUAAGAGGGAAGAUUAUGACGGUACCUCUUGAAUAAGCACCGGCUAACUCCGUGCCAGCAGCCGCGGUAAAG
rnacentral:rRNA from 1 species